CAUACGACUUGGUGCCUGGAGUGGCGCGAGUCAGAAAUGCUCAGGCGCGAUAGGAUGUGGCUGCGGCCGAUUAGGUAGACGGUGGGGUAACGGCCCACCGUGCCAAUAAUCGGUACGGGUUGUGAGAGCAAGAGCCCGGAGACGGUAUCUGAGACAAGAUACCGGGCCCUACGGGGCGCAGCAGGCGCGAAACCUUUACACUGCACGCGAGUGCGAUAAGGGGACUCCAAGUGCGAGGGCAUAUAGUCCUCGCUUUUUCCGACCGUAGGAUGGUCGGCGAAUAAGUGCUGGGCAAGACCGGUGCCAGCCGCCGCGGUAAUACCGGCAGCACGAGUGAUGACCGCUAUUAUUGGGCCUAAAGCGUCCGUAGCUGGCCACGCAAGUCCAUCGGGAAAUCUCUCCGCUCAACGGAGAGGCGUCCGGUGGAAACUGUAUGGCUUGGGACCGGAAGAUCCAGAGGGUACGUCUGGGGUAGGAGUGAAAUCCCGUAAUCCGAGACGGACCACCGGUGGCGAAAGCGCUCUGGAAAGACGGAUCCGACGGUGAGGGACGAAAGCUCGGGUCACGAACCGGAUUAGAUACCCGGGUAGUCCGAGCUGUAAACGAUGUCUGCUAGGUGUGACACAGGCUACGAGCCUGUGUUGUGCCGUAGGGAAGCCGUGAAGCAGACCGCCUGGGAAGUACGUCUGCAAGGAUGAAACUUAAAGGAAUUGGCGGGGGAGCACUACAACCGGAGGAGCCUGCGGUUUAAUUGGACUCAACGCCGGACAUCUCACCAGCAUCGACAGUGUGCAGUGAAAGUCAGUGUGAUGAGCUUACUGGAGCCACUGAGAGGAGGUGCAUGGCCGCCGUCAGCUCGUACCGUGAGGCGUCCUGUUAAGUCAGGCAACGAGCGAGACCCGCACCCUUAAUUGCCAGCAACACCCUUGAGGUGGUUGGGUACAUUAAGAGGACUGCCAGUGCCAAACUGGAGGAAGGAACGGGCAACGGUAGGUCAGUAUGCCCCGAAUGUGCUGGGCUACACGCGGGCUACAAUGGUCGAGACAGUGGGAUGCUACGCCGAGAGGCGCUUGGAGAGCUCCGAAACUCGAUCGUAGUUCGGAUUGCGGGCUGAAACUCGCCCGCAUGAAGCUGGAUUCGGUUG
rnacentral:rRNA from 1 species